rnacentral:rRNA from 1 species
GACGUAGGAGACGAGCGUUAUCCGGAUUUACUGGGCGUAAAGCGCGUGCAGGCGGCACGGAAAGUUGGAUGUGAAAGCUCCCGGCUUAACUGGGAGAGGUCGUUCAAAACUACCGAGCUAGAGUAUGGGAGAGGGAAGCGGAAUUCCGGGUGUAGUGGUGAAAUGCGUAGAUAUCCGGAGGAACACCAGUGGCGAAAGCGGCUUCCUGGCCCGAGACUGACGCUCAGACGCGAAAGCUAGGGUAGCAAACGGG